UACGGAGGAUCCAAGCGUUAUCCGGAAUCAUUGGGUUUAAAGGGUCCGUAGGCGGUUUGGUAAGUCAGUGGUGAAAGCCCAUCGCUCAACGGUGGAACGGCCAUUGAUACUGCCAGACUUGAAUUAUUAGGAAGUAACUAGAAUAUGUAGUGUAGCGGUGAAAUGCUUAGAGAUUACAUGGAAUACCAAUUGCGAAGGCAGGUUACUACUAACGGAUUGACGCUGAUGGACGAAAGCGUGGGUAGCGAACAGG
rnacentral:rRNA from 1 species